AUAUAAGGAUAUCCCCGGCAGUGAAAGGAUUUAUCGUCCCCGAGCAUCAUCCCCGACCCAUGAGGAUGAGCAUCUGAACGUGGGUGGCAAUGACCGGCCGGCUUUGCUUCGACUACGUCAUCCAGCUUCAGAAGUUUCCACGAGAUACACGAUUCACCUCACGUUUCUUUUGAAAACGAAGGAAGGAUCAUGUAAAUUAAACAACGAUCCAGACUCGUUUUUUUUCGAAUUGAUGACAUUAUUCGGCAGCAUUGUAUAUACUUGACAUUCUCUUCAGCGAUAUUAUUUUUCGUCUUCUUUCUGGUUGUUUAACCAUUCCGUUGCAUUUUCUUGUUACGAGCAAGAAUCUAGUCACGCAAAA